GACGAACGCUGGCGGCGUGCCUAAUACAUGCAAGUCGAGCGGACUGAUUAAGAGCUUGCUCUUAUGACGUUAGCGGCGGACGGGUGAGUAACACGUGGGCAACCUGCCCUGUAGAUCGGGAUAACACCGAGAAGUCGGUGCUAAUACCGGGUAAUAUCUGAGAUCACAUGAUCUUAGGUUAAAAGAUGGCUCCGGCUAUCACUACAGGAUGGGCCCGCGGCGCAUUAGCUAGUUGGUAAGGUAAUGGCUUACCAAGGCGACGAUGCGUAGCCGACCUGAGAGGGUGAUCGGCCACACUGGGACUGAGACACGGCCCAGACUCCUACGGGAGGCAGCAGUAGGGAAUCUUCCGCAAUGGACGAAAGUCUGACGGAGCAACGCCGCGUGAGUGAUGAAGGGUUUCGGCUCGUAAAGCUCUGUUGUUAGGGAAGAAACAGUACCGAACGAACUAGGUCGGUACCUUGACGGUACCUAACCAGAAAGCCACGGCUAACUACGUG
rnacentral:rRNA from 1 species